CUUCGGGGGAAAGAUUUAUCGGAAUUGGAUUAGCCCGCGUUAGAUUAGAUAGUUGGUGGGGUAAUGGCCUACCAAGUCUACGAUCUAUAGCUGGUUUGAGAGGAUGAUCAGCAACACUGGGACUGAGACACGGCCCAGGCUCCUACGGGAGGCAGCAGUGGGGAAUCUUAGACAAUGGGCGCAAGCCUGAUCUAGCCAUGCCGCGUGAGUGAUGAAGGCCCUAGGGUCGUAAAGCUCUUUCAACUGUGAAGAUAAUGACGGUAGCAGUAGAAGAAACCCCGGCUAACUCCGUGCCAGCCGCC
rnacentral:rRNA from 1 species